CAAAAACAUCGCCUCUUGAGACACAACCAUAAGAGGUCCUGCCUGCCCUGUGACCACGUGUUUAACGGCCGCGGUAUUUUGACCGUGCAAAGGUAGCGCAAUCACUUGUCUUUUAAAUGGAGACCCGUAUGAACGGCACGACGAGGGCUUAACUGUCUCCUUUUUCCAGUCAAUGAAAUUGAUCUUCCCGUGCAGAAGCGGGAAUAAUAACAUAAGACGAGAAGACCCUGUGGAGCUUUAGACACUAAGCCAGACCAUGUCAAACACCCCCGCCCAAGGGAUUGAACUUAUUGGGCUCCUGUCCUGAUGUCUUUGGUUGGGGCGACCUCGGGGAAACAAAAAACCCCCGCGUGGAGCAGGAGUACUCCACUCCCAAAACUAAGAGCCACAGCUCGAAUUAACAGAAUUUCUGACCAACAACAGAUCCGGCUUAACGCCGAUCAACGGACCAAGUUACCCCAGGGAUAACAGCGCAAUCCUCUUUUAGAGCCCAUAUCGACAAGGGGGUUUACGACCUCGAUGUUGGAUCAGGACAUCCUAAUGGCGCAGCCGCUAUUAAGGGUUCGUUUGUUCAACGAUUAAAGUCCUACGUGAUCUGA
rnacentral:rRNA from 1 species